GGACCGAAGAUGCCAACUCCUUCGUUGUUUGCCCUAAUUUGCGAGUGAGGACCUGGUUUGCCUCGAUGUUGAGGGCUCCACUUGUUGAAUGAGGGGUUUGACGUAGCCGGAGAUGGCUUUGUUUUUGUUUUGCGAGGUCCAGGCGUAUGGAUAGCCGGGUCGCUUUGGGUUGAGGAAACGGCUUUUCGUUUAAUUUGGAAUGAGACGUGACAUUAGGGCAGGGAUUGAGUGAUGGAGCUCCAGGGUGAGAGUGGAUGGCACCGUGGAUUUCUGCAGCAGUGUGGCCGGCACCCUCAUAUUGCCUUGCAGUGGCAAAUGCACCCGGAGAUGCUACAUUUUGAUCAGCCACAGCAGAUGCAUUCGUCGCCGCCGCCGCAGCAGCAGCAGCAAUAUCAUCUAUCGUAAUAACAGGCUCAUCAGUCGGAGGAUCGUUGGUAAGGACAGCCUAUUGAGUAAUAUGCGUCUCAACAGCAGCAAGUGAUGCAGACUCUAGCUCCGCAAUCCUCCUUGUCUCCGUCACCCUUACAGCAGCAUUGCAUGAUGUUAAAGGCAAACUGAGAAGUUUCGAAACGUUUCGGACGAGUGUAUUCGUAAAAAACGUUAGGAGUGUGGAUGACAGUUCAUGCCCCGAAAACGGAUGUCACCGUAUGGAUUUAGUGUUACAUACCGGAACUUGACUUCAGGGCUCAGCCAAUAGGAGGAUUGGGUAGCCAAAGCUAGAGCAUGGACUGCUGCUAAUUCAGCGCAACCGUCUCAUCAGCAACCUUUUUCUGAUAGUUUUACAGCCCCCCCCCCCCC